CGCUGGUUUCCCCCCCAUCCCCGCCGCCUCUCUCGGCGUGGCGGGGUCCGAGCCGCCGCCGCCCGCCGCGGGCAGCAGCGCCGUGAGGGGCUGCCCCGUUCCCGGGCCCUGCCGUUACCUGGGAGAGCCGGGGCUAUUUUUAACCUGGAUGUGUUCUGUGAUAUGUUUCCCACACAGCACAGAAACUGGCACAGCUGAGGGGCAGGAAAGAGCAUAGCUUUAAUUCCUGUUGGCUCAGUCACAUUUGCUCAACAUGACUGAAAACCCCCUUCACCUCUAGAAAUGCAAAAGUGAAUGUGGAUCUACAUUGGAAUCUUCUGUCCUUGUAGCCGGGAGCCAGGAGGGCUGGCGCUCGGGACACCUCCUCCUGGUGCGCUGCCAAGGACGGUGGCGGUGUCCUGCGGCCAGGGCGGUGGCCCCGGGCACUCGGCAUCCGUCCUGCGGCUCGCCGACCCUCCCCUCGAGACCUACUUCUGCCGGGACAGGCAAGCAUCAGCUCCAACAGCCUUCACUGGGAGAAAGAUUUUAGAAGCUUUUAGGAGCAACCUGCACAGAAUGCUCGGAGCAUGACUGUCACUACCUGCAAGCUCCAGGGAGAGUAAGCAAGCCUUGAAGGGACUUUGGCAGAGGGAUUGGGUUUCCCAGAGAUCCAUCAAGCCAGCUUUGGGAAGUCUCUAAAGAUGGCAGAGCCACCACCUGAGUAGAGGCGCCUGUGCUUGCCCACGUCCUGCUCCCCUGCCCACCAUAUCCCUCUAGGCCUCUUCACCCAGACAUGGCUUUUCCAUUUGACCCCACCAGUCACAGGACUGGACAAAAAAAAGAGAUGCCAGGAAGACCUAAGUGUACCUCUCAGCUGGGGCUAUCUGAGCUGUGAAAUGCAGCUCUGACAAGCACUCCUACAGAGCGUGCACACUAUUGCCAGUAUUUUGGUACUGCUAAUGAGUAGAUGCUUGUAUAAAUAAAAUACCUUCUGAUAUGUCAUUUACAAAACAUCAAGGUUUUCAGUAAUUUAGGAUUGAAUUACACCCUGUUGUAGCACAUAAGGAGAAGGAUUAGGGCACUGCAACUCACAGCUGGGCAGCUAAACCUGCUUUUCCUGUUCAAUCGUCUGCCUUCGAUCUGUUUCUCUUUAAUAUUCAGCUGAAAUUCAGCUGAAAGGCAUCAGCCAUGCUCAGGUCAGUAAGGUACCUCUGGAUGAAUGUUUGUGCUCUUUUUAAAGUGAAAUUUAACACCUGACUGGAGGGACCACAAGCCCCCCAGCAAAUCCUGGAUGCCUCCCUGUUGUUGGGUCAAGUGCUGCUGAGAAUUGGCAGCCCAGCAGCACAAGGCUCUCAAGCCUCCCUGGCACAACCACAAGGACCGGUCAGAAAAUCCCUCCCAGGAGGUGAUGGAAAACCCCAGGGUGCCACCAGCAUCCCCCACACCAGCCAACAGAGCCCCUCCACCACUACAGACCUGCAGCAUCCUCUGCCACAUGCAGUAAUUCCCUUUUGUUGGCAUCUGUGCUGCUCAUUUAUUUGCCUUUGUCAGCAUGACCAAGUGAUGGGAUGGGCUCUGCAGGAUUUCUGUUGAUCUUCCUCCAUGUCUUGGCAUUGGGAUCUGGCUCACUGACCACUCAAGAAACUUCCUUUUCCUUUAUUUCACUCCAUUUCAUCCUUUGAUGUAAUGCUAAAUAAAAUCUACUUAUUGUUA